AGUGAACGCUGGCGGUAGGCCUAACACAUGCAAGUCGAACGGCAGCACAGGAGAGCUUGCUCUCUGGGUGGCGAGUGGCGGACGGGUGAGGAAUACAUCGGAAUCUACUCUGUCGUGGGGGAUAACGUAGGGAAACUUACGCUAAUACCGCAUUCCACCUACGGGAGAAAGCAGGGGACCUUCGGACCUUUCGCGAUUGAAUGAGCCGAUGUCGGAUUAGCUAGGUGGCGGGGUAAAGGACCACCAAGGCGACGAUCCGUAGCUGGUCUGAGAGGAUGAUCAGCCACACUGGAACUGAGACACGGUCCAGACUCCUACGGGAGGCAGCAGUGGGGAAUAUUGGACAAUGGGCGAAAGCCUGAUCCAGCCAUACCGCGUGGGUGAAGAAGGCCUUCGGGUUGUAAAGCCCUUUUGUUGGGAAAGAAAUCCAGCUGGCUAAUACCCGGUUGGGAUGACGGUACCCAAAGAAUAAGCACCGGCUAACUUCGUGCCAGCAGCCGCCGUAA
rnacentral:rRNA from 1 species